rnacentral:rRNA from 1 species
AUGCAAGUCGAACGGUAACAGGAAGCAGCUUGCUGCUUUGCUGACGAGUGGCGGACGGGUGAGUAAUGUCUGGGGAUCUGCCUGAUGGAGGGGGAUAACUACUGGAAACGGUAGCUAAUACCGCAUAACGUCGCAAGACCAAAGAGGGGGACCUUCGGGCCUCUUGCCAUCAGAUGAACCCAGAUGGGAUUAGCUAGUAGGUGGGGUAACGGCUCACCUAGGCGACGAUCCCUAGCUGGUCUGAGAGGAUGACCAGCCACACUGGAACUGAGACACGGUCCAGACUCCUACGGGAGGCAGCAGUGGGGAAUAUUGCACAAUGGGCGCAAGCCUGAUGCAGCCAUGCCGCGUGUAUGAAGAAGGCCUUCGGGUUGUAAAGUACUUUCAGCGAGGAGGAAGGUGGUGAGCUUAAUACGCUCAUCAAUUGACGUUACUCGCAGAAGAAGCACCGGCUCACUCCGUGCCAGCAGCCGCGGUAAUACGGAGGGUGCAAGCGUUAAUCGGAAUUACUGGGCGUUAAGCGCACGCAGGCGGUCUGUCAAGUCGGAUGUGAAAUCCCCGGGCUCAACCUGGGAACUGCAUCCGAAACUGGCAGGCUUGAGUC